CAGUUCUUUAUAAUAAAUCCCCUACUGGUUCUGUGUUUCAAAUUAACUCCUAAUUCUGAUAUACGUUAGAAUUCUCUCCUUGCUUGUUGUCUUCUGCUAACUCUAAUAGGCCACCAAAAUUCUCUUGGUUGCAAGCAUCCAAAUGUAAGUUAUCUCAGGUAAAUUCUGGAGGGCCUCCUCAGUACACAAAUCCCUUAUGUGGGAGAGCCUUACAUUUUGGGACUUAGAGUCCACAGAUUUUUGCUGUUUGGUCUUCUUGCCUAGUAGGCAGCUCUCCUUGGCAGGAACUAACAGUAUUCACGUGGCCCCAGGAAACUAGGAAAUUUUAUUUAUUUAUUUAUUUAUUAUUUAUUUAUUUAUUUUUAGACAGUCUCACUCUGUCGCCCAGGCUAGAAUGUAGUGGCAUGAUCUUGGCUCACUGCAACCUCCACCUCCCAGGUUCAAGUGAUUCUCCUGCCUCAGCCUCCCUCAGCCUCCAGAGUAGCUGGGAUUACAGGCAUGCACCACCACGCCCAGCUAAUUUUUGUAUUUUUAGUAGAAAUGGGGUUUCACCAUGUUGGCUAGGUUUGUCUCAAACUCCUGACCUCAGGUGAUUCACUCGCCUUAGCGCAAAGUACUGGGAUUACAGGUGUGAGCCACCAUGCCCAGCCGGAAAUUUUAUUUUAGAGAUAAGAAAUUUAAGACUCAGAAAUUUUGAGUUCUGGCUUGGCCACCAACUAGAGUAAUAAUUAUUGUCUGUCUUAAGAGAAAGUGUUUUGGAUGAUAAUUUUGGGGAUCUUUUGACAUAACCGUCUUCACAAUCGGUUUGUCUUUUUAAUGAUUUCAUACUUACAGUGUUUUGAUAUCUCUCCCAAUGCAAGACCACUAUGUAGUUUAGCCACUGUAACUUUCUACAAUCUGCUCUAAGUCAUUCUGAUCAAAGUGCCAACUCAACUUUUCCUCCUUCCUCAGAGACGAGUGCUCUAAACCAGUAUCAUGGCUCCAGUUCCUCUGACAAGGAUUCACAUGGGGUUGCAAUUCUGACUGUGCUGGUGAUGCUGGUUCCAGGUCCCUCAGGAACCCCUCCCCCAGUCUGGUCUGCCCUUGAACUCUAUACUGGCCCCAGGGUAUCCCAGGAUUGUCAGAAAGGCCUGGCCAGGAUUCACCUGGGAGAGGGAUCAGCAUCUCUGCAAAGUUGUUGGAUUGAAAGAACUUUCAUUUUGAGCUACAUCAUUGAAGAGCUUUAAAUCUGAAAAUAAGAAAGACGUUGAACCCUAUUACUCACAUCUCUUUGUCAUUUGAAGCAGAUCCCGAACCACUCAAAAGGACAAAACAAGGAAAUAGCAAUGAAAUUGGAUUCAGUGAAUGGGGUAAGGGUAUUAAGUGUCUGAAAUAUAAGAGAUAAAAAAAUUAGUUUUUACCUUUUUUUCUAUUUUCUAAAUGUUUUGGUGGCUAGAAUAAGAUAUACUUUGAACUCAAGAGCAAUAAAUGUUAAUAUAUUAAAAGUAGCUUUAUGAAAUAUGGAAAGUAUCUUUAUUUCAAAAUACUUCAAAGUAAUCAUCUGAAUAUUUAUCAGAAAUAUUAAGACAACUUAUUAAAUCCUGUAUUAAAAUGAUUGCUUAUUACUUUUUG
ensembl:lncRNA NCK1-DT NCK1 divergent transcript